CGAGUGAGCGGUAAAAGCUCAAAUUUGAAAUCUGGUACUUUCAGUGCCCGAGUUGUAAUUUGUAGAAUUUGUCUUUGAUUAGGUCCUUGUCUAUGUUCCUUGGAACAGGACGUCAUAGAGGGUGAGAAUCCCGUUUGGCGAGGAUACCUUUUCUCUGUAAGACUUUUUCGAAGAGUCGAGUUGUUUGGGAAUGCAGCUCAAAGUGGGUGGUAAAUUCCAUCUAAAGCUAAAUAUUGGCGAGAGACCGAUAGCGAACAAGUACAGUGAUGGAAAGAUGAAAAGAACUUUGAAAAGAGAGUGAAAAAGUACGUGAAAUUGUUGAAAGGGAAGGGCAUUUGAUCAGACAUGGUGUUUUUUGCAUGCACUCGCCUCUCGUGGGCUUGGGCCUCUCAAAAAUUUCACUGGGCCAACAUCAAUUCUGGCAGCAGGAUAAAUCAUUAAGAAUGUAGCUACUUCGGUAGUGUUAUAGCUUUUUGGAAUACUGUUAGCCGGGAUUGAGGACUGCGCUUCGGCAAGGAUGUUGGCAUAAUGGUUAAAUGCCGC
rnacentral:rRNA from 1 species